AGACAGACUCACUCGAGUCUUUCUUCUCCUCUCUAUCUUCAUCUUCAUCUCCAUCUCGAUCUGCUCAGCUGAGCUCUGUAUUCUCUUCUCAAUCUCUGAACUCUAUCAUCGUGUAGAAGUGUAUCAUCAGGCUCCGAAGGAAGGUGUUAAAGCUCCAGUAGCAGCAAAUAAGAAGAGUGUUAAUUGAAUGAUGCUCAUGAGAUCAGAAAGGUGGAGAAUAAAGAAGCAACCAUUUGGUCCCUUAGCAGCUGCAAGAUUUGUAAGUUUAUGUAGCUUAUAGUGAUUUAAGUUAGAAGAACUUAGGAAUUUCGUAAAUUUACAUGAACUGAACUUAGGAACCAAGUAUGUUUCUAAUGUGUACACUAGUUUGUUGUGAUACUUGGAACACAUUUGUAUCGAAUACUCUAUUCUUUUUGUUAAAAUCAAUUGAAGAAUCCAUUUUCCUAAUUUGAAUCAGUUUUGUAUGUUGAAAUGAAUGAAUGUAUGUUGAAUGAGUGAAUGUAUAACUGUGGAAAUGUUGAAUGUGGGGAACUGGGUAACU